CAAGCAGUUAGGACGUGCGAUUAUUUAAUCAAAAUCUAGUUUUUUCCAUGUCAAUUACGACAUGGAGGUGGUCAACAACGAACUACAACGUUUUCUGAUUAUUGCUGAUUGGCAAAAUCGUAUAUUCUCUACAUUCAGGCUUCGUACAAACCCAAAAGAAAUAAAGAGAGAGCACCGGAUUGUCCGCAAAGCAUGAACCAACGACCAUCGAUGAGACCCCAGACUACAGUCCAAUUGAACACAUAUGGAAGAGUCUUCAAAGACACAUUUACACUAGAAACCACCAGUUUCAAAAUUUGGAGGAUGAAAAUUGUUCGUAGAGCAGGGGAGACCAACCAAAUAUUAAUUGGAAAAAUGUAGUAUUUUUUUUAAUUAUAAUUAAUUUCCCAAAAAAGUGAUUUAGUUUUAUUACUAGUUUAAAAGUUCAUGUUUAACUUAAAAAAAUAUAAUGUGACUCCACUAAUCCGGAGAUCUCGAUGAUCCGGACCCCCACCGGAAACGAUUUGUAUCCGGAUCAUCGAAGUUACAUUGUUAAUGCAAAUUCAGUUGUGUACGUUAAAAUGGUCGGCGGUUUGAAGGCAUUAAUUAGCAACGGCGCCUCUUUCCCACGAAACCCACAUCAUAUUUCCGUUUUCCGCGUUCAUUAUGCACAAGCAAAACCGAAGAAACGGCCCUAAAAAAAAAGAAAUUUCUUCGACUUUACAUAGUUCACACGGCUCACCCCCGUCACAGGUGGAUCGAGCCAAGUGCCAAGAACACCUGAGCCAAAAGAAACG